CUCGUACAUGCGACCAAACGUCGCAUUUUUAGCUUCCGUAACCGCCAGCUUUGCUUCUUUACUCGCCACCUUGUAGAUCUCCCUGUUCGCUCUCCGUUCUUUCUCGCUUGUGCUCCCUGCCAACUUAGCAAACGACGCCUUCUUCACCUCCACUUUUCCUUCGACUACAUCGUUCCACCACCAGUCACCCUGAUGUCUGCCUGAAUAGCCCUUGGCUACCCCGAGC
rnacentral:lncRNA from 1 species